UUUUGACAAGACCAUACAUGGGAAAUAGGCGGAAACUUCCGAACAUUGUCGAGAAUUAAGAUUGGCAAGCGCAUUGACGACCAAGAUGUGAAACGAACUGUUAGUGCACAGAAUUAUGACAGAUACAUGUCAUGAAUUUGAUGAAAACCAAAAAGCAGAGACAGAAGAACGAAAGAAAUGAAAUGUUAUUUGCGUUUUUGGAGAGUUAGGAAGUGAAACAGCUCUUAAAUGUUUCGGAGAGGGAACCCUAUCCAUUUGCUAUGAAUGAAGAACUGCAAGCAGUAUGUAUUCAGAAAUUGAAAGACAUAAUAUUAUUAUGUGAACAUGAAAGUGAGAUAAGUAAUGAAGACAUUCAGUUCAAGAUUUCUUCUAUGCUAAUGAUAUUCCAAAACUGUCCUGAACAAUUUGGUCUAAGUUCUGUGAUAGACUCUCUUUUUUUAAGCCAUGAACAUCUUGGGAAAAGAUAGUGCUGUGAAUGAUUGUUCUCUUCAGUAUGGAUAUGCACCAUGUAAUGUGUUAAAUGGUAUGAAGGGGAGACCAAAAAUACAAAUACCUGGAGACAUGUUGGAAUACUACGUAGAUUCACAUUUUACUUUGACCCAGAUGUCAUCUAUACUAGGAGUGAGCAAAUCAACAGUUGUAAGAAAACUUGAGGAAAUGAAUAUUUCGAUUUUCUGUAGAUAUUCCUUAAUCAAUGAUGAAGAGAUUGACAAAAAUGUGAAAAAAAAAAAUUCAUGACUUUCCAAAUAUAGGAUACAGGAGUGUCAAAUGUCAUCUCGCAAGCCUAGGAUAUAUUAUUCAACAAAAUAGGAUAAAAUAGUCUAUGCGCUGGCGUCUUGUAAUUCAUGGUGGAAUAGAUGGAUAUUCCAGGUUGCCUGUUUACUUACGAGUCAACAACAGCAACCGAGCCGAGAUAGUAUUGCAGGCAUUUAGAGAGGCUGUUUGCGGAGUAUGGAUUGCCUGAGCGCGUUCGCUCUGAUAAGGGUGGAGAGAAUGUAAAUUUUACCGAAUUCAUGUUGAUGAAUCAUACUUUGGAAAAGAAAUGUUUUAUAACUGGACGCAGUGUUCAUAAUCAAAGAAUAGAGAGAUUUUGGAGGGAUCUUUGGGAUGGGUGCAUCUGGCUUUUCUAUUGCAUCUUCACAUUCCUAGAAUGCCAAAAUUUAUUAGAUAUGAAUAAUGAAGUUCAUGUGAAGGCUUUACAUUUUGUAUUCAUCCCAAGAAUACAAGAACAUUUAGACAAGUUUAGGGCUGCCUUCAUUAGAAGACCACUUAGAACAGCCAACUAUAGAACACCUCUGAAGUUAUGGAUAUCUGGACAGAUACUGGAUC